UCUGGUAUAAUUAAGCUUUUUUGAGGCCUUGCUCACAAUUCGUUCUGUGGCAGCACAAUGACCAAACGAUACACUGUAUGUGAGGCUCUUGAUCAUGACAAUGGUGAGGAGGAGAGAGGCCAGGAAACUGACAGUGAAGAUACAUUAGAGGAGGAAAUGUCAGAAGUUGAAGACGACACAGAAUAUGAUCCAGACCAAGAGACAACUGAUGUGGAACAAUCCAGUGAUGGGGAAGAGGGCCCUGCCGAGGUUGUUGUUACAUUCUGGAUGACCCCAGGGCCAACGAGACGCCAUAUCUCGGGUUGAUGACAUAAAAUCCUGCUUCGAACUGUUCCUGACAGAGUCAAUCAAAACCACAGUGAUAAACAUGACCAACUUGGAGGGGGGACGCGUUUACAAAGACAACUGAAAGGAAGUAGACCGGACAGACGUCCAAGCAUACGUGGAUCUCUUGAUUGUGUACAGAUCCAGAAACGAACCUACCACCAGUUUAUGGGAUGCAGAGUCUGGUCGGGCAAUUAUUUACUUAUUUAAAUUGGCUUCGACAACCGUGAUACAAGACCAGGCCGCUGUCAACAAGACAAGCUGGCAACUAUCAGAGGUUUGGCACAAGUGGGUGGAGCGCCUGCCACUCAUCUAUAACCCAAGUCCAGGCAUCAAAGUGGAUGAGUGGUCGCUUUUAGGGGACGCUGCCCAUUCAAACAGCACAUGCCAAGCAAACCGCCUAAAUAUGGAAUAAAGAUAUGGGCAGCAUGUGAUGCUAGGACACGAUAUGCCUGGAACAUGCAGGUUUACAUCAGGAAACCUGCUGACGGUGUUCCCGAAAGGAACCAGGGGAAAUGGUCCUGGAAAUGACUGCAGGUUUCCAGGGACACAACACGUGACAAUUUCUUCACCUCAUGCUCUUGGUCAGGAGCUGCUCCCAAUAAAAAUGACCGUGGUGGGGACGGUCAGAAGGAACAAGCCUCAUUUGCCUCACUCACAACCAAGGACAGGGAUAGUUUUGUCCCUCCAAGUUUGCCUUCACCGAUACACACAAACACUUGUGUCCUACUGCCUGAGGAAAAAGAAUGUGCUCCUGAUGACAACUCUGCGUAGGGAUGCCGCUGUGAGUACCAGGGAGGACAGGAAGCACAACGCUGUCCUGGAUUACAACAGGAACAAAGGGGGAGUUGACAACCUUUAAGGUCACUGGCACAUACUCUUGUAAGAGGAUGACAGCACGUUGGCCCAUGGUGUUCUUCAACAUCCUAGACGUGUCGGUCUACAACAGGUUUGUGAGGUGGAUGGAGGUGAAUCCAGGCUGGAAGCAGGGGAAAUUCUUCAAGAGGAUACUAUUCCUAGAAGAGUUGGGGAAAGCCAUGGUGGCACCCCUCAUUCAAAGGCACCAACACCGUCCUCUAACACCAUCCUCUGCUGGAUUGGUGAGAGAUAUACAAAGACCAGAAGCAAGAUCUACGUCUGCCAGAGACAGAAGAGACAAAAGGACAAUCUGUGUGCAACAAGAGUUAUCAAAACGAGCAUUAUGUGCCGUAAAUGCAGUGCAUAUAUUUGCAAGGCACAUGCAUCAACCACCACGUAUUGGCCAACAUGUACAUGAGAGCACACAAAAUGGAACCACCAUUGAUUGUUAGUAAUACUGUUAUGGUUACUGUGUUCAGAUGUACAUUUUGUAAUAUGGUAAAGUUCUCAUGUGUAGUUUUGGGCCUAUGUCCUUUCUUUACUAAUAAAAUCAUACCAGUCAGUUUUGACCAGGAACACAACAGA